CUUGAGCCCACCAACUGAGGACUGAAAACGUGAGCUGAGAUAAAGCUGAAAGAUGAAAGGUUCCAGAGAUGGAGGGUGGUCACGGUGGUUAUAUGGCAAUGUAUAUAUUUUGGUUUUGUUUUUUGGUACUGGGGAUCCAACUCCGGUCCUUGCACUUUCGAGCCAGACAGCGGAACCACUGAGCUAAAUCCCCGGCUCUUACAACAAUGUAAAUGUACUUGAUGCCACUCCAUUGUAUGCUUUUAAAAUGGUAAGUUAUUUUAUGUAUAGCUUACUGCAAUAAAAAUAUGUUAAAACAGGGCCGGGGAUUUAGCUCCAUGGUCCUGCCACCUGCCUCGCAAGCUCAAGGUCCCAAGUUAGAUCCCCGGUACCAAAAAAAAAAAGUUAAAACAGCAAAACUGUUUAAGAUCUACAGCAGCAAAAUUGUGCUCAUCUUGAAAAGAUAAAUGUAAGUUCUUGGCUUUCUCUAAUCACCAUUAUCUUGAACUUCUGCCUAUUUAUUUUAGGUGAUAGCCACUUCCUAGCCUUGGGUUAUCACCUCCAUCCUCCCCUUCCCUCUUUCCUCAGAUCCACUGUUUGCUCUUUUCUUUGUUUUGAGGCAGGGUCUCACUACAUGGUCCAGGCUGGCCUUGAACUCCUGAGCUCAAUCGAACCUCCUGGCUCAGCUUCCCAAGCACUAUAACUCACAGGUGCACGUCACCAUGUGAGUAUCCACAGUUGUUUUGACUCAAGUGCAAUUUAAGAAACACCAGGCAUGGUGGUGCAUGCUUAUAAUCCCAGCACUCGGGAGGCUGAGGCAGGAGGAUCACUGUGAGUUUGAGGCCAGCCUAGGCUACACAGUGAGUUCAAGGCCAGCCCGAACUACUUGAGAUCCUCUCAAAAAAAGUUUCCUUUGUGCACAGAAUGGCGUCCUGUGCUUCCUCUUACCUUUGCCCUUGAAGGCUACCUGUUCCUUUUCUCCUUUGUCUUCAGGUCCUAGUUCAUCCAAGCUGGGAUCCCCACGGAGAACCAUGGGGACAGGAGGGGAGAGGAAGGCUCAGAGAUAGAAGCACACACCAAGCACCCAUGGGCAUCAGCAGCCCUCACAACCCUUAAGUACUGACAACACAUAGGAAUGGUUAUGGCCCCUCAGGCAUCUGCAAACAAGGCGGAGCUGUGAGGAGUUGGGUGGACACUGGGCAGCAGGGAGGGCCAGGCCACUCCACCGCACAUGCAGUGCUCAGAGCUGAGAAGAGCCCAUCGCAUCCCACCACCCAAACUUGCACUCGGAGGCCAUCUGCUCACACUUAACCUAAUCACUCCAGACAGUUUUUCUGAAAAGCGUCAUGAAGACCUUCAGCAUGAAGCACCCACCAGUGCCUUAAACUCCUGCCCCAGGGCUAAAUCACACCAUGAGAGCUUCUCUUCUUCUCCCAGCACACGCAAGGUCCUGAGUUGGAUCCCUAUGACCAUCAAAUCAAAAUAGCUGGCCUCAGACGGUUUCCAGUGGCUCAUCCUGCCCGGAGCACAGACACUAAAUGUUAACAUCCAGUUGUCUGCACUUAGCUCCUGGUGCCAGGUGACUGCCCCAGGGCUCCCUCUGGGAGUGAUUGUCUUUUCUUCAAUGAUGCCAGUCAACCACCUGGCAAAACAUCAUGCUGGUGACAGGAAAGGGAAUUCACUUCAUUCCUCCAGCAUGGAUGGAGGACCCACGACCGAACACCAGACCUGGGCCAGAGCCUGCGGCGUGGAGCUGAGUAAUCAACCCCUGCCCACUGGGGAUUCUCAGGUCUGGGGGGAGAGGCAGACAUGAAAACAAACACGUCCUGUACAGUGCCAUUAGUCUUGUACCAGCCGCCUCGGGAGCCCAGAGUAACGAACACCAUCUGGGGGGUUCCCAGGGGACUCAGGGAAGGCCUUACUGCACGGGUGCCUCUGAGCGGAGGUCUGCAAGGAUGACUGAAAGCUUCCAAGCAGGAUAAGACAAGGGAAAGAAUUAAUUCUCCUCAGAAGGAACCACCUGUGGAAAAGCAGAGAGGUGAAGAAGGACACGGCGUGUCUCAGAAACAAACGGCAAGGUAGCAGAGGUCCAGACAGGAGCCCAAGCAAGUAAAGUGGGCAACUUCACCCCAGCCAUCGCCCCUCAGAGCUCUAGCUCCACAGCUCCUGUGUAAGCAGUGUUAUCUUUCUAUGUAGAGAUCAUGUCUGUUGUGUGGGUGUUCCAGGUCCACGAUUAUAAGGUACUGAUACAAACUGUCAUCUCAAGGAAUCCAAGUCUUAUGUUUGAAAAAGCCACUGGAAGGGUCAUCUGAAUCUUUAAGCAGUUGUGAUACUCUGAAAUGUGAUUGCUGACUGGAACUGUGAAGAACCUGAUACUUGACAGAGGGGGAACCAGGCCUCAGAGAAGUGAAGGGGCCACCCACCCUCAACAUGGCGGGAUAAGCCACACCCAGCUCUCCAUACCAACCAUGCCAAACUUCCUUUCCUUCCUUUUUCCCCUUCAGGUGCCCGGGCCAGUGUUCUUCACUCAAUGGACACACAAUAAUUCUGGUUAUUUUAUCCUCUCCAGAAAAAAAUAAAAAUAAAAAUUAGUCAUAGGGCUUGACUGAACUUUCUAGAAACUUCCAGAACCAAUUCUUUCCCAUGUAAGCACUUGCUACGCAUAGGCAAAAUGAAUUGAAGCUUCUCAGAGAACUCCAGGAUAAGUUGGUCUCAUAUUCACAAGCCUUAUGCACAAGCCUUAUAAGUGAGUUUGUAAAAUCAUCUUCCACCCUAUCAAAAAUUUUACCAGCCUGUAAAAUGCUCCCAGAUCUCUGCCUCUGGUGAUAUGAGCUGUAUGCCACCUAAACUAGGACAGAGAUAUGUUUUCAAUUUUUCAUAAAAUAUUUACUUUCCUAGAAUCCAAUUUCUUUUUAGGCCUGACCUUUAUCUUUCCGGUGCCAGACCUAAUUUGCAAAACUACUCCUUCAUCUCCCUCACCUGGCUGACUGCCCUUUGUUCAAAAGCCGAAUUUGAGAUUUACAGUAGGAAAACUCCAGAGACCCAGAGAGCUCUGAGGAGACAGGCAACUCCUCUUCCUACCGGGACUGGGAGGGCCAUCGGCCCAGGUGCUCGUACACCUGCUGCUCUCUAGCGGUUGCAACCUGGGAGUGCAGGAGUGCUUCCGCUUGGCCAAAGAAAAAUAUCCUCUUGUUUUCAGGUUAACUGGUUGACUAAGAGUGCUCAGAAAACUUCAUCUUCUUCUCUCAAAGACUCCUGUAGUUGUAGAGUUGAGCUGAAAGAGACCGUAAUCCAACCAGGAGUGGUGGUGCACGUCUGUAAUCCUGGCAUUCUGGGAGGCUGACGCAGGAGGAUCGAAAGUUUGAGUCCAGCCAGCAAGACCCUGUUUCAAAAUAAAAAAUAAAGAGGGGUUGAGGGUAGUAGCUCAGUGCCAAGGGAAAAAAGAAAGAGAAGCCUCAAUCCAACCUCUACCUUGUUUGUGUUUUUUUUUUUAAAGAAACAGCCCGAGGAUCAGAGCAUAGGUCUUUUACCUGAACAUACACCAAAAUUAGGGAAAUUAGGAAUGAAGCCCUCCUCUCACUAGAAGCCAGGGCAGGGAGAGGCGGUGUCCGCUUCAACUGUAGGAAGAUGCAGUGACGCUUGGGAGUUGUGGGCCUGGGAGAGCCAAGGAAGCAACAAGCCUAGUUCUGUUUUUUUAAUUGGAUGUUUUCUAAGAUUUCUUUUUGCAGUGCUAGUAUAUGGUUGUCUGCUUGUCUCUUGGCAUGCAAAUACCUGGUGGUGCUACUAGACUGCUUGCAACUUGAGGGCAGAGUCUCUUUUUCCUCUUUUGGUCCUCAAAACCUGUACCUUUGACAUAGUGAAUGCUCAAUAGCAUUUAUUCACAACAAUGAACAUAUUUGCUGGGCAUGGUGGUUCACAUGUGUAAUCCCAGCACUCAGCGGGGCUGAGGCAGGACGAUUGCUGGGAGUUCGAGGCCAGCCUGAACUGCAGAGUGAGACCCUGUCACAAAGCCCAGUAAUUAACAAGCUACAUAUGAUCCUUGUCUGUGGCUUUGAGUGGACCACAGCUGUAACUAUGAGCCAACCUUACACAUGGGAUCCAGGACCUGACUGCCUGCGACCUGUAACUGGGUCUCACUUCCCACCUGUGUGGCUUCAGACAAGGGGCUGGCCCUGUGUCUCAACAUCCUCAUCUGUAAAAUGGCAUUAAAUGGCAAUGCCUGGCACACUGUUUGAGCUCAGUAAGUAUUCUAAGUAGACAUUAUUAUCUUUGUUUUACAAAUGGAUAAAUUAAAACUUAAAGUGUUUGCAUAGCUUUUCCAAACCAACAUGGCCAGUAAGCAAUUAUAAGCCAUAUCCAAAGCCCAUGCUAACUCUUUAAACUCUGUGCUACAUUAUUGUCCUAUUGUUUUUGGUUUUAGUUUUUCUUUUUUGCAGUAAAUGGGAUUGAAUCCAAGACCUCACAAAUGCCAGGCAAGUGCUCUACCAUUGAGCUAUGUCCCCAGCCCUUCCCUUGUUGUCAGAGGAUCAAGAGCAGGAACAAGUGAGUGAAUGUGAGAGAUUCCUUAUUGUAUGGCAGUGCUAAUAAAUAGUUGUCAUUUGAUUUCCAUGAAGAAAAUAUUGAUACUCAGGAUCUGCCUCUUCCUCAUUCCCUGGACCAACUAAGACAGAAGAUGGAAACAAUUUUUGAAAAGAAACAGAGGUGCUGCAUUCACCCGGAGAAUACAGGUUUCUUCUAAACGAAUAUGCACUGCUUGUGUGGUAUCUAUUUUGUGCAGAUUAGAGAGAUACUUAUCUUUACAAAUUUGCAGUCUAGUGAGGGGAAACAUACAAAGUCUGGUUAUAAUGCAAGCUAAUAUACCAUUGCCUCCUACAACGGGGUAGUACUGAUUAUUUGUGCUGAGUUCCAAGAGGGAGCACAGCACAGGUUUGAGAACUCUGGGGAAGCUUCAAGGAAGAGAACUCAGGCUAUCUUGAAAAAUGAGUGACUUUCUUUUUUUCUGGUACCAGGGAUUGAACUCAGGUCUUUGCGCUUGCCAGGCAGGCGUGGUGCCACUGAGCACUGUUCCUGGUGCAUCUUCAUAGCAGCCAUUUGUAGUGAACACCCAACGCCCCAGAGUGGCUGCCUCCUCACCCAGGACCUGGCCUUGCUCCUCUACCGCGGGACAUGCAUUGCUUGGAAUUUCAUGUGGUCAUCUCAAGAACCACAGAGAACUUGUUGGUCAGCGAGAAGUGAAAAGAAACUGGGUCUUGGGUGAGACCCCUGUGGCUGCCUGAUGAAGCCUCAGCUAAUAAUCACUAUGUACUACAAACAGCUGUCAGAGGUUCUGUGGUCUAAGACUUGGCAGCCAACUCCUUCCGGAAGUUAAUUAUCCUGCCACCAUCUACCUUCAGUUUCAAAUCCCAGAGGACUCCAGGGAAGAGAGAUGGCAGCAGAAAAGCUGCACACACUUCAGCAAAGGAUCAUCGCACAGGGGCUGCAAAGUGAUCUUCAGGCAGACAAGGGACAGGAAGGGCUCUGUGGCAAAGAGGAACCCUCGCCAUGGGAAGGACUCCAAGUACAAAAAGCCUCUUCCUUCCAAACCUGGCUCCAUUGUCAGCUCCCCUGCAAAGCCUGGAGGUUCUGAAUGUGGCACAGCAGAGCCCCGUCCCCUGCCAGGCAGCCCGGCACACACACCUCUGCCUCCAGGUAGGCGACCUUCUCCUUGAGCUCCUGGAUGGUGGCGUCCUUGGUCUGGAUCACAGCCUUCGAAUUCUGGAGCUACAAAGACAGAGGAGACGCGGGAGCUCACUUCUCAAUGCCUCACUACAGACAC